GGUCUAAAGUUUUUAACCCAUUUGGAGCCACUGGAGCAAACAUUGAAAGGCAAUUUCAAAGCUGAAAUUUACUCAAGAAAAAUGCCUACACUUCCGUGUGAGCCCUAUGCAGAUCCCAAAAGAUUGGCCAGUGUUUGGAGACUUCCUGGGAGGUAUCAGUUGCUUGGUGAUAUG